UACAGAGGGUGCGAGCGUUAAUCGGAAUCACUGGGCGUAAAGGGCGCGUAGGCGGCGCGGUAAGUCACUUGUGAAAUCUCUGAGCUUAACUCAGAACGGCCAAGUGAUACUGCAGUGCUAGAGUGCAGAAAGGGCAAUCGGAAUUCUUGGUGUAGCGGUGAAAUGCGUAGAUAUCAAGAGGAACACCUGAGGCGAAGGCGGGUUGCUAGGCUGACACUGACGCUGAGGCGCGAAAGCCAGGGGAGCAAACGGG
rnacentral:rRNA from 1 species